rnacentral:misc_RNA from 1 species
UUUCCGUAGGUGAACCUGCGGAAGGAUCAUUAAAGAGAAUAUGCCCUUCGGGGUAGAUCUCCCACCCUUUGUUUAUAUUACCUUUGUUGCUUUGGCAGGCCCGUCUUCGGACCACCGGCUUCGGCUGGUCAGUGCUUGCCAGAGGACCCAAAACUCUUAUUAUUAAUGUCGUCUGAGUACUAUAUAAUAGUUAAAACUUUCAACAACGGAUCUCUUGGUUCUGGCAUCGGUGAAGAACGCAGC